GUCCACGCCUUAAACGAUGAAUACUCGAUGUCAGCCCGCAAGGGUUGGUGUCCAAGCUAACGCAUUAAGUAUUCCACCUGGGAAGUACGAUCGCAAGGUUGAAACUCAAAGGAAUUGACGGGGCCCGCACAAGCAGUGGAGCAUGUGGUUUAAUUCGAUGCAACGCGAAGAACCUUACCUGGGUUUGAAAGACUCUGUAAACCGAUGAAAGUCGGGUAGUGUAGCAAUACACGCGGAGUACAGGUGCUGCAUGGCUGUCGU
rnacentral:rRNA from 1 species